rnacentral:rRNA from 1 species
UGGGGAAUUUUGCACAAUGGGGGAAACCCUGAUGCAGCGACGCCGCGUGAUUUAGAAGGCCUUCGGGUUGUAAAAAUCUUUUCUAUGGGAAGAAAAUGACGGUACCAUAAGAAAAAGCCCCGGCUAACUACGUGCCAGCAGCCGCGGUAAUACGUAGGGGGCUAGCGUUGUCCGGAAUCACUGGGCGUAAAGGGUUCGCAGGCGGAAAUGCAAGUCAGGUGUAAAAGGCAGUAGCUUAACUACUGUAAGCAUUUGAAACUGCAUAUCUUGAGAAGAGUAGAGGUAAGUGGAAUUUUUAGUGUAGCGGUGAAAUGCGUAGAUAUUAAAAAGAAUACCGGUGGCGAAGGCGACUUACUGGGCUCAUUCUGACGCUGAGGAACGAAAGCGUGGGUAGCAAACAGG